UAGAGUUUGAUCAUGCUCAGAUUGAACGCUGGCGGCAUGCCUUACACAUGCAAGUCGAACGGUAACGCGGGGGCAACCCUGGCGACGAGUGGCGAACGGGUGAGUAGCGCAUCGGAACGUGCCCAGUAGUGGGGGAUAGCUCGGCGAAAGCCGGAUUAAUACCGCAUACGACCCACGGGUGAAAGCGGGGGACCGCAAGGCCUCGCGCUAUUGGAGCGGCCGAUGCCCGAUUAGCUAGUUGGUGAGGUAAAGGCUCACCAAGGCGACGAUCGGUAGCUGGUCUGAGAGGACGACCAGCCACACUGGGACUGAGACACGGCCCAGACUCCUACGGGAGGCAGCAGUGGGGAAUUUUGGACAAUGGGGGAAACCCUGAUCCAGCCAUGCCGCGUGCGGGAAGAAGGCCUUCGGGUUGUAAACCGCUUUUGGCAGGAACGAAACGGCGCGCGCUAACACCGCGCGCUAAUGACGGUACCUGCAGAAUAAGC
rnacentral:rRNA from 1 species